AUUGAACGCUGGCGGCAGGCCUAACACAUGCAAGUCGAACGAGUGGCGGACGGGUGAGUAAUGUCUGGGAAACUGCCCGAUGGAGGGGGAUAACUACUGGAAACGGUAGCUAAUACCGCAUACCAUCGGAUGUGCACAGAUGGGAUUAGCUAGUAGGUGGGGUAAUGGCUCAGCUAGGCGACGAUCCCUAGCUGGUCUGAGAGGAUGACCAGCCACAAUGGAACUGAGACACUGUCCAGAGUCCUACGUGAGGCAGCAGUGGGAAAGAUUGCACAAGGGGCGCAAGCCUGAUGCAGCCAGGCCGCGUGUAUGAAGAAGGCCUUCGGGUUGUAAAGGACGUUCAUCGAGGAGGCGUUACUCGCAGAAGAAGCACCGGCUAACUCCGUGCCAGCAGCCGCGGUAAUUC
rnacentral:rRNA from 1 species